CCGGCGGCGGCGGCGGCGGCGGCGGUGGUGUAGAUAAGGCGAUUCAGACUCCAAGUGGUCAAGUGGUUGGCUCAAGCCUCCUCAGCUAAUACAGUAGCAGAAUUCGGUUGGACUGAAUAUCAGGUUUUUUUUUUAAUCUCUUUAAUUCUCUUCAGCUGCCACUUAAGAUAUCUGGUAUUGAUCAUCUUGACCAAUAUGCUUGAGAAAGGACAGUUAGAUUAUUUAAGCGGAAACAAUUUAAAAGGGAAGCAUCAACACACUUAAUGAAAAGCCUUACCACCAACAUGGAUGAAAUUGUGCUGAUCUAUCCAUCCAACACACUUUAAUCCUAACUUUCUGGCCUCUAAUCCUACCUUUCCAAGAUUGGUUUAGGUUAAGAAAGCAGUUAAAGGAUAGUAUUUAACUGGUAGGUUUUGGUUGAUCUGACUAUCUGCACAAUUAUUCCAAACACUUUGAAAGGUAUCAAAAUAAUACCAUAAUUAUUAAAAUGCAUUAAUACACCAAUAUAUUUCACUGUAAUGUGGAAUGUUUACAUGCAUCAGUUAGGUGUGGGUUGUAUUUACUAACCAUGUAUGGUUAGCUAUGUUGCUAAUAUCUAUUGCACAGGGUUGGCGUACCCAAGCGGUUUAGUAAGGUUAUCCUUCUCUUCCCCAAUAUGCUGCCCCCAGUAAAAUAAAAAACCCACGCUAAGCUUCAUCAGGUUACUUCACACGCCACUGACCAACCAACUCACUACUCAGAAUUCAUACACUUCCCUUUUUUCCAGAGGAAGAUUCUACACAGUCUCAGUUAGUUGGUAAAUUGGUAAUGGAUAAGGAUUGAGAAGUCUGAGUUUGGGGGAGAAUGAAACCUUUCCCCUCCUGAGAACAGAAUUGGGAUGGUGGGCGGGGGGAAGGGAGGGACAAAAAAAAAAAAAAAAACGGAAAGGGAAAGUAUUUUUUUCCCUCCAACUUAAUUUGGAGUAUUUUCUCCCUCCAACUUGAUUUGGUUUUGGAUACAGCCUGUAGGAAUCACUUACUUCUUUUACCUUCUGAAGUAAGAAGGAUUUUUGCCUGUAACAUUGUAUAAUUAAAGGUAACUAUGCUGGAUAUAAAUUUCAGUCUAAAGGAACAUCUUGACCAGGCGUGGUGGCUCAUGCCUGUAAUCCCAGCACUUUGGGAAGCCGAGGCAGGAGGAUCCCUUCAGCCCAAGAGUUCAAGACGAGCCUGGGCAACAUAGCGAGAACUUGUCUCUACAAAAAAAAAAAAAAGCCAGGCAUGGUGGCGUGGGCCUGUAGUCCUAGUUACUCAGGAGGCUGAGGCAGGAAUACUUGAGCCCAGGAGUUAGAGCCUGCAGUGAGCUAUGACCACACCACCACACUACAGCCCUGGGUGACAGAGCAAGACCCUGCCGCUAAUAAAUAAAGGAACAUCUUUUAUUAAACUGGUGCCCUUUAAAUGACCAGACUUUAGAGAUGAUCCAUUCCAGAAGAAUUCUCAAAUAAGAUAUCCAUAUAAUUGUGAAAGGGAAUUUGAGAUAUAAGGAUAUCUCUAUUAUGGAAACUGUUAAUUGAAAAUUGUGAAAUUGGAAAUUACACCAAAACUCCACAAUGCACACAUCAAAAGUACAAGUUUGUAUCUCUACUAAAACUUACAAUUUGUUGAUCUAGUUUAUAACCUAUAAUUAACUUGUUCCUGAGAUGUGGGUGUUUAAAAACAAAUUCUGAAUACGGCUGUCUUAUUUUUAUCCAAGACUAUAUUCAACUGCCUAAAUAAAAUAACGGCCACUUUGGUUUUUUUCCAUUUAACUAGAUUUGGCCCUAGUCACAUACAAGUAUUUCAAGUGAUCCUCUCACCUGAAUUACCUGCAUAAUUUAGAUGACUUCAAGAUUUCAAGUUUCCUAAUUUAGACUAUUUCAAGGCCAAUUAAGCACUCAGGAAGGCCGUUCUUAGCAAAAAAUUUAAGGAAAAAAAAACCAUCAAUAUUGAUCAUUCUGCCUAAAUACUUAAAAUAAUAAAGACAUAAAAUUAAAAUGUAAGUGAACUAGGAAAGAUCUCUAUAAUAAACUUACUAUAUAAAAGCACUUAUAGAAUCAGUAAAAGACAAUCCUACCACAGAAAAACAAACAUGAUUAGUCCAGUCAAAAAGGAUAAACCAGUAACUAAAAAAAAAAAAAGGUGGUUUUUUUUUUUUAACCUAUUGAAUUGACAGAUUCUUUCAUGCAUAGUGAAACUGGUAAGGGGACAAGGAAAUGAACCCUCUAAUAGCCUCUAGUGAGGUUAUGGUGGUGGAGGGAACAAGCAAAAAGCCUAGAGUUCAUAAUCUUUAACCUAAGUUGCACUUCUAGGAAACCAAGUGUUGUGUAAAAAGACAUGUAACACAUCUAUAUAAGUAUUCACUACAAGCAUCGAUACCAGCAAAAAAAAGAGGAAAAACUGAAAAUACUGAUUACAUAGCUAUGGUACACAGAAUACUACAGUUAACAGUUAGCAAGUAAACAUGUGGAACAAACACAUAGAAAAACAAUCAGUGUGAAGUCAAAAAAGCAGGUGAUGAAACAGCAUGUGUCAUUUCAUUAGAUAUAUAUUUUAUUGUAUUUCUAUCUGUCCAUGUCAGCAGCCACCUACCUCCAUGGUCACUGGUACUCAGAAUCUUUUCUUUCCGUUACUAAUUUACCCAUAAGAUCUUAAGCCUAGUGCCCCCUUACACAAUAGGCAGUUUCUCUUUCAUGUGGGGAAAAAUUCAAAUGUUCUGGUAUCCCCUUUAACAACUGUCCUAUUUUUCUCUCCUUUUACUAUUAGUUUUCUAAAUAAGUAAUCUAUACACACUGCUUCUAAAAUAAGUAUGUCAUUUGGCCGGGCAUGGUGGCUCAUGCCUGUAAUCCAAGCACUUUGGGAGGCCGAGGUGGGCAGAUCACCUGAGGUCAGGAGUUCGAGACCAGCCUGACCAACAUGGAGAAACCCCAACUCUACUAAAAAUACAAAUUAGUUGGGCGUGGUGGCACAUGCGUGUAAUCCCAGCUACUCGGGAGGCUGAGGCAGGAGAAUCACUUGAACCAGGGAGGUGGAGGUUGCGGUGAACCGAGAUCGCGCCAUUGCACUCCAGCCUGGGCAACAAGAGCGAAACUCCGUCUCACAAAUAAAAUAUAAUAAAAUAAAAAAUUUACAAAGUGCUUUCAACACAGCCAUUAAUGCAUUUGAUUCUCAAAACCUCAACAUUUUAAUAUACUCUUUUUUGAAGUGACAGAUCAGGGGUUGGUUCUUCCAUGGCUUCAUUAACUGAUGACUGAGUAAACUUCAGUGAGAUGCCUUCCUUUCUACCAGUCUACUCCUACUUUACCAUCCACAACCGAUGCUCUUGAAGUGUUGAAUGCUUUUACAAAUAAUAUGACCUAAUAAAUGUCUGAAUUUCAGCUUUGCUAAACCAAAAAUUCCAACCCAAGAGAACAGGCUACAUUAAGUGUGCUACAUUUUUAGCAACACAAACUUCAAAAAGAAAUCAGAAAUUAACUGAUGAAUUCUGGUGAUAUUUUAUUUAGAAAAAGAUAAUCACUGAUUUUAAGAUCUUAAUUUUUCUUUCUUGUAAAUGCUACACUAAUUAGACGUAAGAUAGUAUUAGAUAAUAAAAGUAUUUACACAUUGAAUACAAAAUAAAUAUAAAGUAACUGAAAAACAAA